AGAGAAAGUUAAGACUGGAGGGUUCAGCAAGGGUGCAUCUAUAACAUAACAUUAUACUCUGCAGCUUGUUAUCACAUGGGGAGAUUAUAUAGCUCAUUAUUUAUCAAUAUUUUCAGGUUUGCACUACUUAAUUGAAAGUUGAAAUUAUUGGUUAGGUGAUUAUGUAAGAAAACUCAUUAUUUUUUUUAAAGUAGAAAACUUAUUGGUAUUAUUCUCUUAUUUUUUUUAUCUUAUCAAUUUAGAAGAAGCCUAUUGAGGUUCUAGGAGUUAUUGAGAUUCAUGUGUUUGAGAGUAACAACCGCUUGUUAGGAGGUGGUCAAAAAUCUUCGGUUGUCAUCCUCUCUAAAAGAUUUAUUCUCUUCCUUCAAGUUCNNNNNNNNNNNNNNNNNNNNNNNNNNNNGCUUAAAGUUGAAUUUCAUUACAUCUGAAACUGAAUUUUCAAGUGUAAGUGUGUUGUAUAAGUUCAAUGAAUAUCUUAUGUAAGUGUAAGUGUUGUAAGUGAUCAACAUACUAUUCUUUUAAUUUAAGACAAGCACUAUCGAUGGAUCCUCUAAUGUGGGCUGCAUAUGAGGAGUUGUGCAUAUUAGGUCUGUGAGAUGAAUUCACUUGAUUCCCAAAGUUCAGCACAUACUUGAUUAACCUAUUGGGAACAUGUUUAGUUUAGAUGGGGGUUCUGUAUUUCCCUUUUGGACAAGUACACAGGUAGUUUUUAGCUAGAUAAGAAAACUGCUUAAAGCAAAGAAAACAUGUUAAACUUUGUAGGAUUUAUUAGCAUAAUGCACAAAUAGUUUAAACUGUUUGUUUUGGUGACUAAGUAUUAGUCAUGAGUUUAGUUUCACAACACCACCAUAACCAGCCACACAAUUAUUCGAGACAGCCCCAUCAGUAUUUAGUUUCACAUAAUUCUUCUUCAGCAGCAUCCACCCAAUUAACGCAACAGUCUUCUCUCUCACCUCCAUACUCGCGUUGAUUUUCAUGGCCUGCACAUACUCCCUUACUACCUUUUGAAUAUGCAGAAUCAGUCUCACAAAAGCCUUCUCAUGUAAUUCCUUGUUCUUCCAAGUCCACAAACAGUGGCAUGUAGUAGCCCAAAAAUUGCACCAUCCUUCUUUAU
rnacentral:lncRNA from 1 species